rnacentral:rRNA from 1 species
CCACGGUAGGGUCAGCGACUGGGGUGAAGUCGUAACAAGGUAGCCGUAGGGGAACCCGUGGCUGGAUCACCU